rnacentral:rRNA from 1 species
AACGCUAGCUACAGGCUUAACACAUGCAGGUCGAGGGGCAGCGCAGUGUAGCAAUACAUGGGCGGCGACCGGCGCACGGGUGCGUAACGCGUAUCCAACCUUCCCGUUACUCAGGGAUAGCCUUCCGAAAGGGAGAUUAAUACCUGAUGGUGUUCAAAUUCCGCAUGUUAUUUGAACUAAAGAUUUAUCGGUAACGGAUGGGGAUGCGUGACAUUAGGUAGAUGGCGGGGUAACGGCCCACCAUGCCUACGAUGUCUAGGGGUUCUGAGAGGAAGGUCCCCCACACUGGAACCGAGACACGGUCCAGACUCCUACGGGAGGCAGCAGUGAGGAAUAUUGGUCAAUGGCCGGAAGGCUGAACCAGCCAAGUAGCGUGAAGGAUGAAGGUUCUAUGGAUUGUAAACUUCUUUUAUACGGGAAUAAAACCUCCCACGUGUGGGAGCUUGUAUGUACCGUAUGAAUAAGCAUCGGCUAACUCCGUGCCAGCAGCCGCGGUAAUACGGAGGAUGCGAGCGUUAUCCGGAUUUAUUGGGUUUAAAGGGAGCGUAGACGGGAUGUUAAGUCAGUUGUGAAAGGCUGCGGCUCAACCGCAGCACUGCAGUUGAUACUGGCGUCCUUGAGUGCGGUUGAGGUGUAUGGAAUUCGUGGUGUAGCGGUGAAAUGCUUAGAUAUCACGAAGAACUCCGAUUG